rnacentral:miRNA from 1 species
UGAAUGGCUAGAGGCAUCAAG